rnacentral:rRNA from 1 species
AUUGAACGCUGGCGGCAUGCCUUACACAUGCAAGUCGAACGGUAACGGGUCCUUCGGGAUGCCGACGAGUGGCGAACGGGUGAGUAAUAUAUCGGAACGUGCCCAGUAGUGGGGGAUAACUGCUCGAAAGAGCAGCUAAUACCGCAUACGACCUGAGGGUGAAAGGGGGGGAUCGCAAGACCUCUCGCUAUUGGAGCGGCCGAUAUCAGAUUAGCUAGUUGGUGGGGUAAAGGCCUACCAAGGCAACGAUCUGUAGUUGGUCUGAGAGGACGACCAGCCACACUGGGACUGAGACACGGCCCAGACUCCUACGGGAGGCAGCAGUGGGGAAUUUUGGACAAUGGGCGAAAGCCUGAUCCAGCAAUGCCGCGUGCAGGAUGAAGGCUUUCGGGUUGUAAACUGCUUUUGUACGGAACGAAAAGCCCUGGGUUAAUACCCUGGGGUCAUGACGGUACCGUAAGAAUAAGCACCGGCUAACUACGUGCCAGCCGCCGCAGUAA